GACGAACCGCUGCGGCGUGCCUAAUACAUGCAAGUCGAGCGAAGUUUUUCUGUGCUUGCACUAGAAAACUUAGCGGCGAACGGGUGAGUAACACGUAAAGAACCUGCCUCAUAGACUGGGACAACUAUUGGAAACGAUAGCUAAUACCGGAUAACAGUAUUUCUCGCAUGAGAGAUAUUUAAAAGUUGGUUAUGCUAACACUAUGAGAUGGCUUUGCGGUGCAUUAGCUAGUUGGUGGGGUAAAGGCCCACCAAGGCGACGAUGCAUAGCCGACCUGAGAGGGUGAUCGGCCACACUGGGACUGAGACACGGCCCAGACUCCUACGGGAGGCAGCAGUAGGGAAUCUUCCGCAAUGGGCGAAAGCCUGACGGAGCAACGCCGCGUGAGUGAAGAAGGAUUUCGGUUCGUAAAGCCCUGUUGUUAGGGAAGAAUGGAUAUGUAGUAACUAUACAUGUAGGAGACGGUACCUAACCAGAAAGCCACGGU
rnacentral:rRNA from 1 species